UACAGAGGGUGCGAGCGUUAAUCGGAAUUACUGGGCGUAAAGCGUGCGUAGACGGUUAUUUAAGUCAGAUGUGAAAGCCCCCGGGCUCAACCUGGGAAUUGCAUUUGAGACUGAAUAGCUAGGGUGCGGUAGAGGGAAGCGGAAUUUCCCGGUGUAGCGGUGAAAUGCGUAGAUAUCGGGAGGAACACCAGUGGCGAAGGCGGCUGACCUGGCCCACUCUUGACGCUGAGGUGCGAAAGCGUGGGGAGCAAACAGG
rnacentral:rRNA from 1 species